rnacentral:rRNA from 1 species
CUACGGGUGGCUCCAGUGGGGAAUAUUGCACAAUGGGCGCAAGCCUGAUGCAGCCAUGCCGCGUGUAUGAAGAAGGCCUUCGGGUUGUAAAGUACUUUCAGCGGGAAGGAAGGGAGUAAAGUUAAUACCUUUGCUCAUUGACGUUACCCGCAGAAGAAGCACCGGCUAACUCCGUGCCAGCAGCCGCGGUAAUACGGAGGGUGCAAGCGUUAAUCGGAAUUACUGGGCGUAAAGCGCACGCAGGCGGUUUGUUAAGUCAGAUGUGAAAUCCCCGGGCUCAACCUGGGAACUGCAUCUGAUACUGGCAAGCUUGAGUCUCGUAGAGGGGGGUAGAAUUCCAGGUGUAGCGGUGAAAUGCGUAGAGAUCUGGAGGAAUACCGGUGGCGAAGGCGGCCCCCUGGACGAAGACUGACGCUCAGGUGCGAAAGCGUGGGGAGCAAACAGGAUUAGAUACCCUAGUAGUC